GGGCCCGCACAAGCGGUGGAGCAUGUGGUUUAAUUCGAUGAUACGCGAGGAACCUUACCAGGGCUUAAAUGCAGAAUGACAGAUUGGGAAACCAGUCCUUCUUCGGACAUUUUGCAAGGUGCUGCAUGGUUGUCGUCAGCUCGUGCCGUGAGGUGUCAGGUUAAGUCCUAUAACGAGCGCAACCCCUAUUCUUAGUUGCCAGCGGGUAAUGCCGGGAACUCUAAGGAGACUGCCAGCGCAAGCUGCGAGGAAGGUGGGGAUGACGUCAAAUCAUCACGGCCCUUACGUCCUGGCUACACACGUGCUACAAUGGAUGGUACAAUGGGCAGCCACUACGCGAGUAGGAGCUAA
rnacentral:rRNA from 1 species